GAUGAACGCUAGCGACAGGCUUAACACAUGCAAGUCGAGGGGCAGCGGGGGCGUAGCAAUACGCCUGCCGGCGACCGGCGCACGGGUGAGUAACACGUAUGCAACCUGCCCGUCACAGGGGGAUAAGCGGAAGAAAUUCCGUCUAAUACCGCGUAGCACCUGCGGAGGGCAUCCUCUGCAGGUUAAAGAAUUUCGGUGACGGAUGGGCAUGCGGCGCAGUAGCUAGUUGGCGGGGUAACGGCCCACCAAGGCGACGAUGCGUAGGGGUUCUGGGAGGAAGGUCCCCCACGCUGGUACUGAGACACGGACCAGACUCCUACGGGAGGCAGCAGGGAGGAAUAUUGGUCAAUGGGCGCGAGCCUGAACCAGCCAAGUCGCGUGAGGGAAGACGGCCCUACGGGUUGUAAACCUCUUUUGUCGGGAGCAAAUGCGCCACGUGUGGCGCUGCGAGAGUACCCGAAGAAAAAGCAUCGGCUAACUCCGUGCCAGCAGCCGCCGUAA
rnacentral:rRNA from 1 species